UACGUAGGGUGCAAGCGUUGUCCGGAAUUAUUGGGCGUAAAGGGCUCGUAGGCGGUUUGUCGCGUCGGGAGUGAAAUCCACUGGCUUAACUGGUGGCUUGCUUUCGAUACGGGCAGACUGGAGUUCGGCAGGGGAGACUGGAAUUCCUGGUGUAGCGGUGAAAUGCGCAGAUAUCAGGAGGAACACCGGUGGCGAAGGCGGGUCUCUGGGCCGAUACUGACGCUGAGGAGCGAAAGCGUGGGGAGCGAACAGG
rnacentral:rRNA from 1 species